AUUUGGUACCCUGUGCUUUUCCCAUGUUAUUUUGGGCAGUUCACUGACAAACACAUUUAUAACAGUAUCUGACACUUAAGGAUGCAGGCAGGUACCUAGUGAGGUCUGCAGAAACCCCCAUAUUGGCUGUGUAAGUUCCAUAGGUUUUUUUACUUCAGCAGGCACUGGAAUCAAUGGGCAGCAUCCCUCCAACUUCAGUGGAUUUUAAGUCUUUGCUUUCCUUGCCUGCCCAGAAAAAAAAGGUAUCCAUUUGGGCUGGUUUAUCCCACUGCAGUAUACCAAUUAAACAACUGUGACUCACAUGAAACUUAUUUCAGUGAUCCCAAAUAAGUAAAGGUAAUUGCCAGAAGGCAGCAGGAGGGAAUAACCUGUUAUCUUUUGCACUGUGAAAUUCACAGCAAAGGAAGUGGGCUCCUGAUAAACUGUGGUUGAAAUUACUCACGCCUGGGGAGAAGGAAGUAUUAAAAAUCAUUUGGUACACAUCUCAGCAUUAAGUGUACACUAAAAUUUACCUCUUUAAGCUGAUACAGCCCUGGUAGUAUCUUUUGCUAUCUCCUCAUUAAAUAUAUCCUUCUGUGCUGUACCUGUUGAGCUCCAACUUAUUUGUCUGAUCAAUGUCAAACAGGAAAUCAAAGUAGGGAGAGUUCACUGCCAGUAGGAAGAGUGAUGAUGAAAAAUAUCUUUUACAUAACAAGUCCUAUUCACAGUGCUUUGGCAAAGGACAUGGCUCCCAGGCUCUAAACCCAUCAUUAUUUCUGCUAAGUGGACAGGUUUUAAUCUCUGCAAAAGUGGUAUUUGUCUCUGGAAGCCUUCAGUUCUGGACUAAUUCAUUUUGGGUUAAACCAUGCUGCACACCAAGAUGUAAAAGGAAGAAAUGUGCAGUCUUCUCAAUUCCUCAGGUUUGCUACAGCGCCAGGUUUUCAGUUAGGCACCUAAA
rnacentral:lncRNA from 1 species